UACGAAGGGGGCUAGCGUUGUUCGGAAUUACUGGGCGUAAAGGGCGCGUAGGCGGUGUGUCAAGUCAGGCGUGAAAGCCCCGGGCUCAACCUGGGAACCGCGCUUGAGACUGGCACGCUCGAGUUCGGGAGAGGAUGGUGGAAUUCCCAGUGUAGAGGUGAAAUUCGUAGAUAUUCGGAAGAACACCAGUGGCGAAGGCGGCUCACUGGACCGGCAUUGACGCUGAGGUGCGAAAGCGUGGGGAGCAAACAGG
rnacentral:rRNA from 1 species